rnacentral:rRNA from 1 species
UACAGAGGUCUCAAGCGUUGUUCGGAUUCAUUGGGCGUAAAGGGUGCGUAGGCGGCGCGGUAAGUCGGGUGUGAAAUCUCGGAGCUUAACUCCGAAACUGCAUUCGAUACUGCCGUGCUUGAGGACUGGAGAGGAGACUGGAAUUUACGGUGUAGCGGUGAAAUGCGUAGAUAUCGUAAGGAAGACCAGUGGCGAAGGCGGCAUCCUGGACCAACACUGACGCUGAGUGAGCGAAAGCCAGGGGAGCAAACGGG